GUGGGGAAUAUUGCACAAUGGGUGGAUAACCCUGAUGCAGCCAUGCCGCGUGUGUGAAGAAGGCCUUCGGGUUGUAAAGCACUUUCAGCGAGGAGGAAAAAGUGUAAGUUAAUACCUUCCAUGCUGUGAGGGACUCGCAGAAGAAYGCCCAGGGGAABACCAGG
rnacentral:rRNA from 1 species